UGUGCCACAUCAUCACUUAGUACAUUCUCUGACUCUCUAGCAUCAUAUCAACAUCAUCAUGAUUCAAACAUUAUUCAUAUUGAAAGUGACGCCAAUAAACAACCAAAAAUAAGACAUGACUGUACCACUUGAACAUGCCAGGUUUCCUAGCAACAGCAAUUUAACUAGUAUGUCCAUGCCUAAUUUGCUUUUAAAAUCUGUGCCAAGACUCCCACCUCGGAUAUGAGCCACCGAAAUAUCAGCUUCACCACCACUGAUGGCGAUAUCACUCCCGAAGGAGAAAAGCAGCAUUCAGAAGAUGGUGGUCUUUAAAGCAAUGCCCUGCUCAUGUUGUUGUCAUUCUUGGCUUUGCUCCUGUCACAGAAAGCUUAGCUGCUCAAACUAGAAAAUCCCUUCUUUCUACGGUUACCAAGGAAACUAUUUACUGAGACUCUUUCCCCCCACAGCAUUCAUUCUCGGUUGCCGAAUCAAGAAAAGUACUUACAUUUCGACUUCCACUCUGUGCAUAAUAAGACUAUUACAAGCACAAUGUGUUAUCUGCCUGAAAUGCCAAAGGAUCGCAGGCCUGAGAGGACUUACGAAAAAACUGAUGUGUUUUUAUUGUAUUCCCCUUCUGACGCUGAAUUGAUUGUAAUUGCUGAUGUCUCGGACGUGUAUUUGCUUCUGAAGUCUGUCAUGGUUUGAAAAGGUUUAAGGAUUAUUGUGGAAAAGGAGCAUGAGCUCAAAAUGACUGCUUUUAUUAUUUCACCAACAAUGAAGCCGUAUAAUAGUGCAUCAAAAUUUAUGAAUACGAGCGACUUGUGGAUCUAUCUGGGUCAGUGCUCAAAUCGAAGAAAAUGGGUCAAGAGACAUCAGAGAGACAGACAGAGAUCCUCUAGUCUAAGCUUUUUGCUUAACAAGAUGUUAGAAGAGGGAGUGG
ensembl:lncRNA